GACAACUAUGUCACAUUUGGGAAGCAUUGCAUCGAGAUCCUCUUCAAAUUUUGCCCCAGUUUGAUUCUCCAAUUCAGGGUCCAUCUUAAGUCGAUCAUGAUAGAGGAGAUUACAAUUGAAAGGUUUCAACCGUUGGAGCAAAAGCCUACCACCAAUGCGUCCAGCACCAACAGUUCCAACUGUCUUUCCUUCCAGAUCAUAGGCUCUGUAAGCAAUACCUGCUACAUUCCACUCCCCAGUAAUAACUUGAUGAUAUCCAGGUAAGAAAUUCCGGACAAGAAUAAGAAUUCUCAUGAGCUCAUCCUCUGCAACAGAGACUACAUUGCUUCCUGUGACCUCUGCAACAGUUAGCCCGGCAGCAGCUGCAGCCUGCUGCCUUCAAAUCUAUAUGAUCAGACCCAAUUCCAGCUGUCAGAAGCAGUUGCAAGUUUUUGGCCCUUUUGAU
rnacentral:misc_RNA from 1 species